AACGAACGCUGGCGGCAGGCCUAACACAUGCAAGUCGAGGGGGAAGCCAUCUUCGGGUGGUGGAGACCGGCGCACGGGUGAGUAACGCGUGGGUAUCUACCUCGGGGUGGGAAUAACCGCUGGAAACGGCGGCUAAUACCGCAUACGCCUUAAGAGGGAAAGCUCCGGCGCCCUGAGAGGAGCCCGCGUUGGAUUAGCUUGUUGGUGGGGUAACGGCCUACCAAGGCUACGAUCUAUAGCUGGUCUGAGAGGAUGAUCAGCCACACUGGGACUGAGACACGGCCCAGACUCCUACGGGAGGCAGCAGUGGGGAAUAUUGGACAAUGGGCGCAAGCCUGAUCCAGCCAUGCCGCGUGAGUGAAGAAGGCCUUAGGGUUGUAAAGCUCUUUCACCUGCGAAGAUGAUGACGGUAGCAGGAGAAGAAGCCCCGGCUAACUCCGUG
rnacentral:rRNA from 1 species